GGGGUGUUUUAAGGGUAUUUUAUGAAAAUAAAGCUCGUAAGUUAUUGAUUUAUAACGAUUGUAUAACAGACUUUUAAUCAGGUGGUCGGGCGUUCGAGCCGCCCACGCCCCACCA
rnacentral:tRNA from 1 species